AUAUUUUACAAUAAAAACAGCAGGUGAUUAAAAUUGAACAUUUCGUGAACAUUCCAAUUUCUGUAUUAUCAAGCAAAAGCAAAGACAUCAUAUAGUUGGUUGCAUCUUUUUAAUCUUUCUCAAUUUGUGAAGGUUUUCAACAACUUGCUCAACUGCCACAGAAAUACUUUUCUGUGUUUCCUCUGCCAACUUGGUUAACCAAUUUCAUGUACAAAUGGAAAUUUACCAACUCAAUCUUCAACUAUUUCAGUUGUCCAUAAAUUGUAUUUACAAAUAAUUAGUGCUCAUCUUAUGAUCAUUUUAUGAUCCAUAGAUGGAGUCAAGAGAAAAAAGGAAUAACUACUUUAUACAAGAAAUACUUACAAAUGUCGUU